GCAGUAGCCACGGUAAUACGUAGGGUCCGAGCGUUGUCCGGAAUUAUUGGGCGUAAAGGGCUCGUAGGCGGUUUGUCGCGUCGGGAGUGAAAACCAGGUGCUUAACACCUGGCCUGCUUUCGAUACGGGCAGACUAGAGGCAUUCAGGGGAGAACGGAAUUCCUGGUGUAGCGGUGAAAUGCGCAGAUAUCAGGAGGAACACCGGUGGCGAAGGCGGUUCUCUGGGAAUGUCCUGACGCUGAGGAGCGAAAGUGUGGGGAGCGAACAGGAUUAGAUACCCGCGUAGUCCCUGUCUCUUAUAC
rnacentral:rRNA from 1 species